CCGAGUUAGGGUCUUCAGGCCCGACCUCCAACCCUUUGUUAACUAUACCAUGUUGCUUUGGUGGGCCCGCCUUUAGGGGCCGCCGGGGACUUUCAUGCCCCUGGUCAGUGCCCGCCAGUAGCCUUCUCAAAUUCUAUUGUAAUUAUGUCGUCUGAGUUUAGAUAUAAAUCGUUA
rnacentral:misc_RNA from 1 species